rnacentral:pre_miRNA from 1 species
UAACUACUCCCUCCAUCCCAAAAUUCUUCUCUUAGAUUUGUCUAAAUACGGAUGUAUCAAGUCACAUUUUAGUAUUAGAUACAUCCGUAUCUAGACAAAUCUAAGACAAGAAUUUUGGGACGGAGGGAGUAUUAG